CAUCAGUUCACUAAACUUGUCUCAAAACCUGGACAAAGUCAAGUGUUACCACAUAACCUGCAUUGCGACCAAUCCCUUUGGACAGUGCAGCUUGGAUAUAAUACCCCGGUCUAUCAGAAAAGUGUCUCAGUCCCGUUUGUCUGUCAUGGAGAUUAUUGGGAUUUCACUUGGGGUCAUCAUUAUACUGCUAGGAGCUCUGGCCGUACUUCAUUUCUUCUUUGUUACUCGCCGUCGAAUUUAUGUAGAUGUUGCAGAUUUCAUGACAGAUUCUACAGAUAUUUCCCCAUCAGCACAAGAGCAUAGUCCCCAUUCAGCAAAAGAUUCUCAACAGCAAAACCUUGAGUAGUUGAACCACCCAACAUUGCUACAGAGUCCACAUUCCCUAGUGACUGAGCUCACACCUUGGCCCUGAUUCUCCUAUUUCAGGAUGGGAAGGAAGGAAGGAAGGAAGGAAGGAAGGAAGGAAGGAAGGAAGGAAGGUCCCUUCCCAUUUGUCUCUGUAAUGAAACCAGAAACUAGGA